UACAUUUUAAGGUCUGCAUUAUUUUUUUAUAUUUGUAAUUUUUCUCAUCCUUUUUUGUUUCCACUUCAUGCAACCUCACGUGAAUAAGAAUAACUUGAAAUUUAAGAUAAUGGAAUAGAGAUUAAACUUACUUCAGCCAGAGGAAAACAUAUAGCACAAUGCUGACGAGAUUUAAGAAAUAUUAAGGCCGAAGGCAGAGAACGAGUUCAGUUCAUUUAGCAGACGACUUUAAUAUUUUUUAUUUUCGGCUAUUCCAAUCGUUUGGGAAUCGUUUGGGCAAGUUUAGGAAAUCGCUCUUAUAAUUUGGGAAAUAAUAGUUUAGUCGGAAUUAAUAAAUAAAAAUUGGGUGUUGAGCUAGCAGACAUAAUGUUAAAAAUCACUUUUUCGUACGUCAAUCGACUCGAAAUCAUUUGGGAAACACGCUCGUAAAAUUUCAGAGUUUGGGAAAUAAUAAUUUUAUCGUAAUUAAUAAAUAAAAUUAGUAUCUGAAAAUUCCCUAUGAAGUUUCGCGGAUGUUCAAUUAGCAGACAUAAUGUCAAAAAUAUUUUUUUUCUUACACCAAUCGAUUCGAAAUCAUUUGAGAAACACGUUCGUAAAAUUUCAGAGUUUAGGAAAUAAUAAUUUCGUUGUAAUAACGAAAUAAAAGAAAUUAUUUUCAAAAUAAUAAUUUCGUUGUAAUAAUAAAAUACUGAACGCAUCUAUUCACGGGCAAUGUACAACGUUUGUAUUCGGUGUCAUCUGUCAUUCGGUGCGUGGUUCGUCUAUCGCUAUUUUAUCAGCAUUGCCAAAGAAGUCUUCCUUUAUCAUAUGGCAUUUAAAAAAUUAGACGAAAGAAAAUGUGAGAGACCAAAAUGAAUGCUGAGAGAUUGCCACCAUUGGAAUCUUUGACUACUGUGGAGGAAACAGUGAUCUGACAAAGCUAUGGAAUCCUUAAGAAAUGUCACGGCCCAGCACAGUCCUGCAGAUUUGAUAGAGCACUUUGUGCCAUGCUUUUGGUGCAACGCUUUAGGAAACUGAUUUACAUCAAGAAUAUUAGCAUGCAGCUUGUUCACACACACACACACACACACACACACACACACACACACACACACACACACACACACACACACACACACACACACACACACACACACACACACACACACACACACACACACACACACACACGCACACCUGAAUAUACCCUAUUUUAAAUACAUUCAAAUGAGAGUAUUAUAUCCUAUGUAUUACAAAGUUCAAGGCUAGGCCCAAAAAUUAAUCCACGUAAGAAAAGGUAUAUAUUGUACAAAAAUAUUUUAUUACUUGAUCUUAUUCUUCAUAUGUAGUAUACAACAUAGUAUAUAUAGUAUACAACAUGCAGAAGAGAUAUUGUUACAUUAUAGAUGGUUAAUAUUGUAAUGAGAAAAAAUGAGUCAACAAAAUAUUUGUAAUGUUUGCAGUUACAAA